UCAAGAGUACGUGAAACCGUUCAGGGGUAAACCUGGGAAACCCGAAAGAUCGAAUGGGGAGAUUCACCGUCAGCGACGUCGGCUUCUCGGCGGUUCGUGAUGCGCGCGACACCCGUCCGGGUGUCGCCGCACGCGUCCGCUGUGUUUUACCAUGUCCGGCUGCGUCGGCGUGCACUUCUCCCCUAGUAGGACGUCGCGACCCGUUGGGUGUCGGUCUACGGUCCGGGUUGUCGCCUGUCCCGUCGCUUCGGCGUCGCGGGGCAGACACCUGGUAGCCUGGCCGGCUGCUCGGCGGUACUCACACGGUAUCUGGCCGCAAUCUCGAACUGCGUCUCAGGCCCGUCGCAAGCGCGGUCAGUGAUCCCGGAUGUACGGACCCAGUGCCGUCACCGGGCCUGGCCCGCUGUUAGCUGACGGUGUCCUCUGACAGGCCACUCGUUGAUACUGGUCGGCGACGCUACUGCUUUGGGUACUUUCAGGACCCGUCUUGAAA
rnacentral:rRNA from 1 species